AUUGAACGCUGGCGGCAUGCCUUACACAUGCAAGUCGAACGGUAACGCGGGGCAACCUGGCGACGAGUGGCGAACGGGUGAGUAAUAUAUCGGAACGUGCCCAGUAGUGGGGGAUAGCCCGGCGAAAGCCGGAUUAAUACCGCAUGAGACCUGAGGGUGAAAGCGGGGGAUCGCAAGACCUCGCGCUAUUGGAGCGGCCGAUAUCAGAUUAGCUAGUUGGUGGGGUAAAGGCCUACCAAGGCAACGAUCUGUAGUUGGUCUGAGAGGACGACCAGGCACACUGGGACUGAGACACGGCCCAGACUCCUACGGGAGGCAGCAGUGGGGAAUUUUGGACAAUGGGCGCAAGCCUGAUCCAGCAAUGCCGCGUGCAGGAAGAAGGCCUUCGGGUUGUAAACUGCUUUUGUCAGGGAAGAAAUCUUCUGGGUUAAUACCUCGGGAGGAUGACGGUACCUGAAGAAUAAGCACCGGCUAACUACGUGCCAGCAGCCGCGAUAACAC
rnacentral:rRNA from 1 species